GACCUGACCAACAGUGGGAAGUCUCUGUACUUUGUUCGCGCCCUGACCUACUGCGAUAUCAACAAGAUCGAGCUGUCUGUGCUGAAAGAGACGCUUUAUACGUGCCCGGAGUUUGCACAGGAAUUUAUGGGAAAGAUACAGGAUACAUUCAACCUGAAACGGGGUGUGUUGACGGAAACCCAACGGCAGACGAAGAUGGACGACGAAACACUCAAAUUUAUCCGUCAGAAGAGACCGCACAUGCAAUCGAAAGGCAGACGCCAUGUCUAUGACGCCGACCUCACGACCGGUAGAUCCGGCUUCCGUAGAAAAGCUCGCCAUUAGACGGCGCCUCCGUCGUCUGACCCAGAUGACGACCAAGCGUCUCGGGCGAUCGACAUUUCACCGGAACAAGCGUCUAGUGAUAUCGACGUAGAGUUCGUGGAUAGAAGCAACCAAGGCUCGGGAAGUUCCCUUAUAAAAGAUCACAAAAAGUUACCCGCCUCGCUGUCGAAAAAAAUGGGUUAAAUGCUUUUUGUGUCGCCUCGGAUUAGCAUGUGCUGUCAACACAGAUUUAAGGGACGCCACAUUUCUACUCAACUGGAUUUUCGCUACAGAAAAAUACAUUUGAGCAAAAAAUCAUAUCAGCGGACCGCACAGGCUAAUAUGAGACGACACCUAACGCAAAUGCAUUCUUCAUGAGCUAUUGAAAUGUCUAUUUGUUUAAAAACAUUCUGUCCUAUUUGUAAUUAAAAAAGGCAGUGUUCUGUUUGUUAAAAUUGCCACGUGCUCCAACAGUCGACACGUGCAUCCACAGUUUCCCGUAAAUGCUGCAGCAAUAAUAAUUUGGC